CAGUCGCCACGGUAAUACGAAGGGUGCAAGCGUUACUCGGAAUUACUGGGCGUAAAGCGUGCGUAGGCGGUUUGUUAAGUCUGUUGUGAAAUCCCCGGGCUCAACCUGGGAAUGGCAAUGGAUACUGGCAAGCUAGAGUGUGUCAGAGGAUGGUGGAAUUCCCGGUGUAACGGUGAAAUGCGUAGAGAUCGGGAGGAACAUCAGUGGCGAAGGCGGCCAUCUGGGACAACACUGACGCUGAGGCACGAAAGCGUGGGGAGCAAACAGGAUUAGAUACCCCAGUAGUCCCUGUCUCUUAUAC
rnacentral:rRNA from 1 species